UGGGUUGGCCAACAAGUUCGUUCGGAUUUUUCUGUAACCUCUUUCGGAACUUUUUGGCCAACCCA
rnacentral:miRNA from 1 species